CUUAUCUCGAACCCCAAGCCUGGCUCUCUGUCCCUUCUCAUUGCCAGAGGGGAAGGGAGAGAGAGGUGCUGCAUUGUGGUUGGCUGUCAACCAGGCCUAAACCGCGACACAGGGUCAUCCCCACUGUUCAUCUCU